GUAGGGACCAAGCGUUAUCCGGGAAUUAUUGGGCGUAAAGGGUGCGUAGGCGGCCAUAUAAGUCUAAGUUAAAAGCCCACAGCUUAACUGUGGGAAGGUGCUUAGAAACUGUAUGGCUUGAAUUCAGAAGAGGCAAGUGGAAUUCUAUGUGGAGCGGUGGAAUGCGUAGAUAUAUGGAGGAACACCAGUGGCGAAGGCGGCUUGCUGGGCUGAUAUUGACGCUGAUGCACGAAAGCGUGGGGAGCAAACAGGAUUAGAUACCCUGGUAGUCCACGCCGUAAACGAUGAGUACUAAGUGUUGGAGAAAUUCAGUGCUGAACUUAACAGAUUAAGUACUCCGCCUGGGGAUUACGACCGCAAGGUUG
rnacentral:rRNA from 1 species